AUGGUUAUUUUAAUUAAACAAAAUUAUUUUGGGUAAUAGCUGGAAAUGCACUUUCUAGGCUUGUAAUUUUCUGGGGGCAUGCCCCACACCUCCUUGGGAAGGCUUGCUGCAAACUUAUUCCUUCUCAACCAGCCUCCCCUACAAUCAUAAAAUUGUUGUGUGUUCCCUGGUUUGUACUCAGAAUGGUGUCUGUUAGAAUGGUGUCUGCAGUAUCUUUGAGGAAUUCUUUAGUAUAUUCAGGCAGACAAGAAUUUCCCACACAGGAUAUUGUCUAUGACAGCUGCCUUAAUCUUUAAUGUACACUAACCAUUACAAUUUGAAUAUAAAUCUUCCCUAACAUUAAGACU